ensembl:lncRNA
CACCUGGGCUGCCGUCAGGUCCUGGGACACCUCAGCCAGCAGCCGGUUCACCACUCCGCACGGCGGGCGGCUGUCACCUUCCCGCAGGACGUGCUCCAGCUCGCAGUACGCCUGCGCUCGGUCACCCUGGGGACAGGGAUCAGUCACGUUUUGCUUUGCCCUUGUUCCCGGGGAGCCGCCCGCUGCCACCCAUCGCUAUGCCGAUGUGCUGCCAGGGCCUGGCACCCACAGGGCCGUGGCACUGGGGCAGGGCAAGGACUGAUGGUUGGAUGUCCCCAUCUCACCUCCUUGUCUUGCAGGCGCUGCAGCAGCAAAGUCACGGCACAGGGGGGGACAGGGCUUGCCACCCUGCCUCUGGCCCUGCGACGUGUACCUCUGGGCACGCAGCCCACACAGGCAAAGAGACCUGGAAGGAAAGAGCAGAGCAGCUGCCACUGGUGUUGCUUGGAGCCAGGGCCGAGCAUCCGGCCAGCUCAGGGAGGAACCCAGCCCCUCCCACAGCGUGGGGUGGGCUGUGCCGGCACAUGUGUGGUCGGCACGGAGAGGGGAGAGAGCCUUCCCCUUGCUGAGAUACCGGGGAAACCACGGUGGGCGGCUGCACUCAGCAGAGCAAGGACAGUGCUAAUGGCAUGCCCUAAACAGGCGUUGGUGGCACACGUGCUCGGGCAGCAUCAUGGUGUCCAGAGAGGUGGAGGGACCUCACCUCGAAGGGCUCUCAGCCGCUCCAUCACAGCAGGAAAUCUCCAGGUAGACACAAUGCUCUCUCUGGGUCCUCUUCCUGCGCCUCUCGCAAGAGACUGAGCCACCGCUCCCACCGCUGCCACAGGGGUGGAAGAGGCAGCCACUGUGACAUCACAGCGAGGAGUGUCACCUCACAGAGAAUGACGUGCCCUGGGCUAGGGACCAGCCAGCAUGCAGGGCAACCUUGCAGGCCCCAGAACACAGCACGUUUUUGUGACGCACUCAGCUCUGGGGUGGACGUGUUCUGUGCUGGAUCAGGGAAUCACCUCAGGUGAUGGGGUGAGGGAGAGCCCCUGCCAGGCAGCAGCUGCCAGGUGCCAUUGCUCAGCAUUGUCUUAGUGACUGGGGACUCCAUACAAGGAGGCACUGCAGCCCCCAUUUGCUGCCCAGACAACCUCUCCAGAGAGCUUUGCUGCCUUGUGGGGGCACGUGUCAGAGACGUUAAGGAGACUCCACCACAUGUGAUCAAACAAGACCACCGUCCACUUGCUGUCAUUCAAGUAGGGUCAUGGGAGGAUGCCAUGAGAAAAUGGCAGAACAUCAGAAAGGGACUUUGCAUCCCUUGGAAAGACGCUAAAGGGAUCGGGAGAGCCAGGACUGUUCCCCUCUGUCCUCCUGAGCUCCCAGGAGGGUUCUCCUCUGUCCUCCUGACUGGUGACUGGGUCCCAGAAGGAAGGAGGAGGACAGAGGAGGUAAAUUACUGGCUGAGGGGAUGGUGUCGGGAUCGAGGUUUUGUGUACCCUGAUCUUGGGCACGCCUUUGAGAGACCGGGUGUGAGCAUGAGACGGAAUGCGACUGAGUAGCUGGGGCCAAAGUGCUCUGGUGAGCAAGCUGGCUGGGCUGCUUACCAGAGCGUUAAACAAGACUUGAUGGAGGAAGGGGGUGGAGUUCCUUGUGACAGAGAAGGGCCUGGGAAUGCUGUCUUUUUUAGUAAACUGUGUAGAAAAACCUCCCAGUUGUCCAGUAGGAUUCCGGUAGUUGCGAGGACUCUUCAGAGAAAAUAACAUUGCCAAGAGCCCGGCUUAAACCUUCCUGCAUCCCUCUAGAGAUACCUGCACCCUCUGCUUCCCUACAGUGCCCGUAUAGCAAUGCACACCACAUGGGGAAUAAACAAAAAGAACUAGAGAUCCGUGCGUGCUUACAAGGAUGUGAUCUCAUUGCAAUCCCAGAGACAUGGUGGGACAGCUCACACAAGUGGCAUGCUGUUGUGGGUGGCAAGGCAAGGUGAGGUGGGGGACUUGCUCUUUAUGUGAGAAACUGCUAGAAUGCAUUGAGCUCCACUGUGGGAGGGGGGGGUGGGGGGGGGGGAUGAUGAAGAAGUGGAUAGCUUGUGGGUAAGAAUUAAGGGGCGGGCUAACAUAGGUGACACUGUUGUGGGUGUGUGCUACAGGCCACCUGAUUAGGAGGAGGUUGGGAUGCAGCAAUCAUGAGGUAGUGGCGUUCAAGAUCUUGUGUGGAAGAAUCAAAGCAAUAAGUAGGAGUGCUACCCUGGACUUCAGGAGAGCCUACUUGAAGGUAUCCCACGGGCUAGUGUGUUAGAAGGUAAGGGGGCCCCUGAGAGCUCAUUGGCCCUUUAACUCCGCUUCUUCCGAGCUUAAGAUCAGUUGUGGAAGACAAAACUGUUUUGUUUUUUUUUUUUUGGCUCAAAGUUUGCUUUGUGAGGCCUUUCUUGUGAUAAG